AGCAGAUGCAGGAUCCAAGCGUCUUGUACAGUCUGCAGAAUUGUCCCACUGCAAUUCAGUUGAAUAAGAAAGAAGGAGAAGCUGUGAACUGUAGGUCUAAGGACUUCUCAAACUUUUUCACGUACAUGGAGUCACCCUGGGCUCUUAUCAAAAUGUAGAUUCUGAUUCAGUAGGUCUGGGGAGCUGCUGCUGCUGCUGGUUCCAAACUACGCUGGAUUAAAAAGAGGCAAAGAAGCAGAAGAUAAGCACAGGGUUGCCUGGGAUGAAGUUUGCUCAGCCAUUAAAAGGUGGGAAAGUCUCCUGCUGCUGUGUAUAUGAGAGAAAGCCACUGUUAACGUCAUGUGUCAGCUACCCAUCAAUUGAGGCAGAGGAAGCAAUUGGUUCAUCAAUGGGUUGGUAAGAAGCCCUCCAAACCUUAAUUAUCUGAGUGC
rnacentral:lncRNA from 1 species